UCUGUUAUAAUGACUACUCAGCAUGUUCUCCACCAGCUCCUUCCACUCGUCUCUCCGUCCAGAAGAAUCUCCAGAGGAUCAGAGUGAAUCUGGACUGGGACAGAGGAAAACUGUCCUU